GAAAUGCGAUAAGUAAUGUGAAUUGCAGAAUUCAGUGAAUCAUCGAAUCUUUGAACGCACAUUGCGCCCGCCAGUAUUCUGGCGGGCAUGCCUGUCCGAGCGUCAUUUCAACCAUCAAGCCCCCGGGCUUGUGUUGGGGACCUGCGGCUGCCCGCAGGCCCCGAAAACCAGUGGCGGGCUCGCUGUCACACCGAGCGUAGUAGCAAUCACCUCGCUCAGGGCGUGCUGCGGGUCCCGGCCGUUAAACAGCCUUACAAAACCCAAGGUUGACCUCGGAUCAGGUAGGAAGACCCGCUGAACUUAAGC
rnacentral:misc_RNA from 1 species